AAAAAAAAAAGGUUGAUUGGACACUUACCACAUGACCCAGCAAUUCUACUAGUAGGUAACCUACCCGAGAGGAAUGAAAACAUAUGUCUGUGCAAAGACUUGUACAUAAAUAUUCACAGCAAGACUAUUAUAAGAGCCAAAAUGGGAAGCAAUUAAAUGUUCAUCAGUUGAUGAAUGGAUAAGCAGUUGUGGUCCAUCCAUGGACUACUUCUCAGCAAUACAGAAGAGCAAACUACUGACACACACAGUCACUUGGAUGAACCUCAAGAACACUAUAGUCCCUUGGGCAAUCACUCCCUCUCUCUCCAUGUGGUUCAGCCAAGAGUGUCAAUCACAGCAUAUUCAUCAACACCCCACCCCCACCUCCGGCUUCCUGCAAAGGAUUAUGACUCAAGCUGGUCAACCAGAGUGUGCCCACAUUGGAUUAAGGGAUGUCAGGAAAGAUAUCUUCCCCCUAAACUAGGCAAACUCAGGAUGAGAAGUUGAGCUACUGGGGGCCAAAGAAAGCCGUUUGCCACAGGAGAAGAUAAAGCGUGAAAUAGGCAGAGCUAGAGAUGAUGAGGGAGACAAUGAACUGGUGGCAUCAUUUGGGCCUGUGUAAAUAACAGUCCUGAUACUUGUUCUAGCCCCGGACUUCCCAUAUGUGUGAACCAAUAAAUUACAUUUUUUGCUUA
rnacentral:lncRNA from 1 species